rnacentral:rRNA from 1 species
AACGAACGCUGGCGGCAGGCUUAACACAUGCAAGUCGAACGCACCGCAAGGUGAGUGGCAGACGGGUGAGUAACGCGUGGGAACCUUCCUUUUAGUAAAGAAUAGCCCAGGGAAACUUGGAUUAAUACUUUAUACGCCCUACGGGGGAAAGAUUUAUCGCUAAAAGAUGGGCCCGCGUUGGAUUAGCUAGUUGGUGAGGUAAUGGCUCACCAAGGCUACGAUCUAUAGCUGAUCUGAGAGGAUGAUCAGCCACACUGGAACUGAGACACGGUCCAGACUCCUACGGGAGGCAGCAGUGGGGAAUAUUGGACAAUGGGCGCAAGCCUGAUCCAGCCAUGCCGCGUGAAUGACGAAGGCCUUCGGGUUGUAAAGUUCUUUAGCAGGGGAAAAUCAUGAUGGUACCCUGAAAAUAAGCUCCGGCUAACUUCGUGCCAGCCGCCGCAGUAA